AUUGAACGCUGGCGGCAUGCCUUACACAUGCAAGUCGAACGGCAGCACGGGAGCAAUCCUGGUGGCGAGUGGCGAACGGGUGAGUAAUAUAUCGGAACGUGCCCGGUCGUGGGGAUAACGUAGCGAAAGCUACGCUAAUACCGCAUACGAUCUAUGGAUGAAAGCGGGGGAUCGCAAGACCUCGCGCGAUUGGAGCGGCCGAUAUCAGAUUAGGUAGUUGGUGAGGUAAAGGCUCACCAAGUCGACGAUCUGUAGCUGGUCUGAGAGGACGACCAGCCACACUGGGACUGAGACACGGCCCAGACUCCUACGGGAGGCAGCAGUGGGGAAUUUUGGACAAUGGGCGCAAGCCUGAUCCAGCAAUGCCGCGUGCAGGAUGAAGGCCUCGGUGUAAC
rnacentral:rRNA from 1 species